rnacentral:rRNA from 1 species
CUGGGCCGUAACUGACGCUGAGGAGCGAAAGGGUGGGGAGCAAACAGGCUUAGAUACCCUGGUAGUCCACCCCGUAAACGUUGGGAACUAGUUGUGGGGGCCUUUCCACGGGCUCCGUGCCGCAGCUAACGCAUUAAGUUCCCCGCCUGGGGAGUACGGCCGCAAGGCUAAAACGCAAAGGAAUUGACGGGGACCCGCACAAGCGGCGGAGCAUGCGGAUUAAUUCGAUGCAACGCGAAGAACCUUACCAAGGCUUGACAUAUACGAGAACGGGCUAGAAAUAGUCAACUCUUUGGACACUCGUAUACAGGUGGUGCAUGGUUGUCGUCAGCUCGUGUCGUGAGAUGUUGGGUUAAGUCCCGCAACGAGCGCAACCCUCGUUCUCUGUUGCCAGCACGUAAUGGUGGGAACUCAGGGGAUACUGCCGGGGUCAACUCGGAGGAAGGUGGGGAUGACGUCAAAUCAUCAUGCCCCUUAUGUCUUGGGCUUCACGCAUGCUACAAUGGCCGGUACAAAGGGCUGCAAUACCGUGAGGUGGAGCGAAUCCCAAAAAGCCGGUCCCAGUUCGGAUUGAGGUCUGCAACUCGACCUCAUGAAGUCGGAGUCGCUAGUAAUCGCAGAUCAGCAACGCUGCGGUGAAUACGUUCCCGGGUCUUGUACACACCGCCCGUCAAGUCAUGAAAGUCGGUAACACCUGAAGCCGGUGGCCUAACCCUUGUGGAGGGAGCCGUCGAAGGUGGGAUCGGUAAUUAGGACUAAGUCGUAACAAGGUAGCCGUACCGGAAGGUGCGGCUG